rnacentral:rRNA from 1 species
UACAGAGGGUGCGAGCGUUGUCCGGAAUCACUGGGCGUAAAGAGCUCGUAGGCGGUUUGUCGCGUCUGCUGUGAAAACCCGAGGCUCAACCUCGGGCCUGCAGUGGGUACGGGCAGACUAGAGUGCGGUAGGGGAGAUUGGAAUUCCUGGUGUAGCGGUGGAAUGCGCAGAUAUCAGGAGGAACACCAAUGGCGAAGGCAGAUCUCUGGGCCGUAACUGACGCUGAGGAGCGAAAGCAUGGGGAGCGAACAGG